rnacentral:rRNA from 1 species
UGGGGAAUCUUGGACAAUGGGGGCAACCCUGAUCCAGCCAUGCCGCGUGAGUGAUGAAGGCCUUAGGGUCGUAAAGCUCUUUCGCCUGUGAAGAUAAUGACGGUAGCAGGUAAAGAAACCCCGGCUAACUCCGUGCCAGCAGCCGCGGUAAUACGGAGGGGGUUAGCGUUGUUCGGAAUUACUGGGCGUAAAGCGCACGUAGGCGGACCAGAAAGUUGGGGGUGAAAUCCCGGGGGCUCAACCCCGGAACUGCCUCCAAAACUAUUGGUCUAGAGUUCGAGAGAGGUGAGUGGAAUUCCAAGUGUAGAGGUGAAAUUCGUAGAUAUUUGGAGGAACACCAGUGGCGAAGGCGGCUCACUGGCUCGAUACUGACGCUGAGGUGCGAAAGUGUGGGGAGCAAACAGGAUUAGAUACCCUGGUAGUCCACACCGUAAAACGAUGAAUGCCAGUCGUCGGGUAGCAU